CAUCACCUUAGUUGGUAAUUCAAUAUAACAUUUUUAUUUGAAAAAAGUGAUUUUAUAAAGUAAAAACUUCACCUUGCACUACCCUGACCGUAUAUGUGAUGUUAUAUCACCAACAUCACAUAUUACACUCCGCAGGCGAUAUUACCAAAUACGCCUUAUCACUGAAGGAUUUGCUCUGCAUUUAUCACAUUCAUAAGAGUCACUUCAGAGCGUUAUGGUAUUAGUUUUGGAAGGUCGUGAGAUGACUAGGUCAAGUCGAAUUAUUUUUAUAAUGAAUUUAGUUGUAGUUUGGGCUGCAAGCACCAUAUCGAUAUACUCCAGACCGCAUUUUACUGAUCUUCGGGAAAUGUUCACUAAAUUAACAUACAAGACGGGUUGGAAUUUAACUGAUUGGCCUGAACACCAAGUAUCCUAACUUCUAUGCUUUACCAAUCGCACCACUUUCUAAAACAUUUUAUCUGCAAAUAUCAAAGAAUAAAGUAUAUCAACUUCAAGAUAGAUUUGGAAAAGCAUAAUGACUUCAAGAGUCCAUACUUCGAGUGAUAGACACAAAUAAUACAAUUUGUUCUAUAAAUUAUAAAAUUUUUGAUUGUAUUCUAGUUGAAAUUUGGCAGGGGAAAGAACACCGCUAAAUGUACGCAAAAAGUACUUGUCAAAAUAUUUAAAAAAUCUACGCACUUAACUUCGAAUCAUACGAAGAGAUCUGGAUAGAAUCAGGCGAAAAUAUAUACACAUAUCAGCGUGCUUCCAACCAAUACUUU